CCUACGGGGUGCAGCAGUGGGGAAUAUUGGACAAUGGGCGAAAGCCUGAUCCAGCCAUGCCGCGUGUGUGAAGAAGGCCUUCGGGUUGUAAAGCACUUUCAGUGGGGAAGAAAGCCUUGGGGCUAAUACCCUCGAGGAAGGACAUCACCCACAGAAGAAGCACCGGCUAACUCCGUGCCAGCAGCCGCGGUAAUACGGAGGGUGCGAGCGUUAAUCGGAAUUACUGGGCGUAAAGCGCGCGUAGGCGGUCUGAUAAGCCGGUUGUGAAAGCCCCGGGCUCAACCUGGGAACGGCAUCCGGAACUGUCAGGCUAGAGUGCUGGAGAGGAAGGUAGAAUUCCCGGUGUAGCGGUGAAAUGCGUAGAGAUCGGGAGGAAUACCAGUGGCGAAGGCGGCCUUCUGGACUGACACUGACGCUGAGGUGCGAAAGCGUGGGUAGCAAACAGGAUUAGAUACCCGAGUAGUC
rnacentral:rRNA from 1 species